GCCCGGCGGGCUGCCGGCGGGGCGGCUGCAGGUCCGCUGCCGGUCGGUAGAGGCCUCCCUUCCGAGGCUCUGGCUCCGGCCGCUCCCCGCUGGGUCUCCUCUCCCCGGCGCAGGCCGUGCUCUGCGAGGUCCCUGCGCCGCUGCCGCCCCGUGAGUGUUCCCCACUCGCGCUCCUCCUCCCGCAGGCGGCAGCGCCCGUUGCUUAGAGGGCAACGUGGUGCUGACAGCUCGGGGGUAUCUGGGAUGUCUCAACCACUAACUUGGGCCAGCCAUAGUACUCCUGGGAAGGAAGAUGCAUUGCAAGGGGAUUGGACAGAGAGAUUGACCAACACUGGAAAAGGCUUCUAAUGUGAGGAAAAACACGGAAUGACAAGUGUGGGAAAGAGCAAGCACUAAAUUACUGUCAGAAAAAUAAACGGAGUAGCACAGUGGUGCUCGGUGAUUUACGGGGGCAAUUAGUCACCACCCCACGGCGCUGCAGAGGACGCACAGCGGCAGGCAGCAGGCCCGAGAGGAAGAAGAGGCUCUGCACCACUCACCAGACAACUUUUCAGACAAGAAGAGAGAGGGCCGAGCACACGAGGUGCCGUGUCUUCAUUCUGGGUGCCCACCCUGCAUAUUAUUCAACCCACCUGAUACAUAAAUGUAUUUCCAGCACAAUAGAAAUGUUUGCUGUGUGUUUAAAGACCUCCAAAGGUGCUUUUAAAAAUGUUCUUUCCCGCUGUCCAAAGUCGGUUUUCACCCAUUCCUUCAAACACCAAACGAGCAAGAGAUAUUUCUGCUUCCUUGAUUAUCUGCCUGCUGGUGGCUUCAGUCUUCUCUCUGGCUUCUUGUGUCUUGCUACCAUGUUCUGUGUUUGCUCAGAGCCAACGGGUACUAAGGAGUUGGGAGUGUAGAGCCUCUAAGGAGUUUGGUGGACUGGUUCAGGAGGUGAGAAACAAGGCCAUAGAGCAGAGGAAAUGAAAAAGACACAGAGGAAAUGAAAAAUGCACAGAAACAUGGCAAGAAUCGCUAACAUGGCCUUUAACAUCCCAUUUGUAGUGUCUAUGUUUAUGUAAGCCAGCAAAAGCUAAACCUACGAGGACAUCUCAAGUUGGUUUACAUUCCUGAAUGGGAAUUCUCCAUCAGAAGGAACCUAGGGUGGAAGCGCAGGAAAGAGCCCAGACAGAGACUUUAUUUACAGACUAAAUGUCAUGUCUGUGUCAGGGCCAAUGGCAGGGAAGCUGAGGUGAAGCGUCAUCAAAAGUUCAGUAUCCUAAUGAAGCUGCACUCCUAAUCAAGGAGUGCAGCUAGCUUACAUUUUUGAAGGAGUUUCCAGUGUACAAAGGAAAUCUGGCUUUCCCUUUCUCAUUUGAUCUCACUUUGUCUUUAGUUAAGAGUAUUCAGAACUGUGUUCCGUAGAGUUGGAGAAUGUGACCCACACAUACCACCUUGCCCUGGUAUAUCCUAAGAGGCAGCACUAUUUUGAUGAGUGGAUGCCAGCAGGAUGCACCAUUUAAUGGGACAUUUAAUUUAACUGAUAAAGAGAGUUGCAACUGGGGAAAAUGCAGGCUUCACUGGCUAUUCGCCACAUUACAAGUUUUUUCCUCUUCGAAUUGUAUUAGCACAUAGUGCCUGUUGAUGCUAUUAGCAAUAAUGUGGAGUCCCGGGAAUGGAUGUAUUUGUGAUCAGUGAUAACACAGUUUUCAGCAUCUCUGUAAAAAAGAUGCUGAAAGACUCAACAAGAAAAGGAAGCAGUGUUUUCUCUGUUGCUUUUACUGUCACUAGAAAGUCAUAUAGAUCUUUAUUAAAAUUAUGUAGAUCUUUAUUGAAUAGCAAGAAUUAUGUUUCUAGGAAAAUUUAUAACUAAAAUUAUUUUCCAUCAAUGAUCAGUAACAUCCAUUUUUUUCAAAAGCACUGUGUUUUUCAGAUCAGCUUUAUUUUCUAAAGUCACAGUUCACAUUUCUACUAGAGAGACAGAGUUGUUAGAACUAUCCAUACUUUAAAAAUGAAAUUUAAGUUAGAAAAACUACAUUUUGGAUAAUUUUAUAUUCACUCUUUCCUUGAUUUAAAUAGAGCAUUAUAAAACAAAUUCCUUCAUAAGCAGUGCAUUUGUGUGUUUAUGCACAUUUAUGUGCACAUAUAUGUAUGUUAUUUUUGUUAAAAAAUUAUAUAAAGAUUGAAAUUGACCUUGGCUGUUGUAUUUGGUUAUUGCAAGAAAUAAUAGCCAUUUUAUAUCUUGAUUCACAUAUCUUCUCAGCUAAUCAUUCUAUAAAAUUCCAAAAGAGAAUUUGGACUGAAAGAAAACAUGAGCUUCCUUCAUGCCUCUAUGUUUGUUUUUGUACAGAAUAUUUAUGCAAUAUUCUAAUUUGACUAUAAUCUAUAAUUUCUGCUAUUUCAGUAGCAACCAUAAUUUUUAGAUUAAUGGUUAUAUUUUAAUGUAAGGCAUACAUGAAAAGUUAUAGGCUUAUGCUUGAGAGAAGUAUCAUUAAAUAUUCAUUAUUACCACCCAAAUUAGUUGUCAUCCUCUAUAUAACAGUUACCCAUUAUCAUUUCACUAGUUUAGAUUUAGCAGUAAGUGAGCAGCAAUAUUUAGCUCAUAUCAGUAGAGAAAUUUUUGUUGGAGAGCAGAGAGAGAAAUGAUUUAGAACCCAUUUGACAUAUUUAUGUUGACAGAUUAUUUAUAGGAAUGACUGUUUUGUCGAUAAACAUGAUUGUGUAUUGGAAUAGGAUUGUGGCUAGAUUUACAUCUAGCUGUUUAAUUACUCGAUAAUUGUGAAAAACAGUGCUCCUUCAGAUGGUUAUGAGGGAAAUAAUUGAAAAUAUCAUGGUUGGUAUGUUUUAGUCUUUUGCAGACACCUAACCUUGCUAUAAAACAACAUUUUUUUUCAUUUUUGUAAGCAGGUUUUGAAAUUUUGUUUCAGCCAAGCUAGAUUUUACUGUUUGUUAGUUUUCUCCAUCUGGUAACAAAUCUAUAGUUAAGAGGAAAAAAAUACUUGGUAAGAAGAGAUGGAUUUUUAUAUAUGUUGUAGGUGAACAUAUAUAUAUAUGUUGUAUAUAUUUUGCUGUAAAGGCAUUUUUAAAAUUUUCACAUAUCUUGGUAUGCAGGUUCAAUUAUAUGAAGAUGUUAGGACAACCACAUUUAAAAAUGAAUCAUUCCAUACUGUUCAGUAAUUUAAAGUGGUUCUUUUUCCAUAGGAAAACCCCCCAUCUAUUUGUUUUUCAUUUAAAUCUAAUUUUAGAGUUUUCUGCUUUAAAGAGUCAAAUUGUAGCUGAUGGACACAUUUUUGCAUUUUUCUACAUUGCUUCUGGACUUUUCAUAAUGAUGGUUUAUUUUAUUUUUUUCUACACAGAAGAGAGGAAAAAUAUAUAGGUCCAUGAAUCAAUCUAGAUAAUGGGGAAGGCUGAAUGUAAUAAAUAAUACAGUAACAACCCUAAACUAAUGAGCUGUUGCUAAGGUACAUUUCAUAGGCUCAUCCUCUAUAUAAAAAGUCACUAAUAACCCCUUGGUGUAAUCAGAUGAUAAAGCUUUGCCAUAAGGCAACACCUGUGCAAUUAGAACCGCAGAUUCUUUUGCACGUUUCAUUAAUUUCAGGAUUUUGUAAAGGCACAAUGACUGCACUAAUAAUCUAGUCUACUUGACUCCAUGUCUACCGGAAACAGAGUGUCUAAUUAGAUAAAGGUAAUUAAUUAGAGAUAAAUGGAGCUAAUCAGGCUCAGUUAACACUAAUUCUCUGAAUUAAGACAUUUUGGGACACCUACUAUCCCGCUGGCUUUGAUAUUUUGCAUGAAAAGUAGGUUCUAGAAGAGUCAGAAAAUACUGGCAUCUGAGAAUGGAGCAAUCUUUUGAUGGCAUAUUUAGGCAUCUGAAGCUAAAGGAGAUUUUUCUUUCAUAUUGUGCUAUUUCACCACAUCUCUGUUGCAGCUUAAAGAAUUCACUUUGUAGUUACGCCAAUCUGCGCUAGUCUCUGUAUAAAUUUUAAUAACCUUUGCUAUCAUUUUUAUUAUCCAUCUCACCCACCAAUGGAAGGGAAUCACAAGUUGUUCUCUCUUAAAUAAAGACUUAACUUGUUACAUUAAGGAAAUGUCAAGACUCAUCAGCCUAUAUCCUAAAAUUCUGAUCCUUUAAAGAGAACAAACACCUAAAAUUCUGAUCCUUUAAUUCUGAUUCUUUAAAGAGAACAAACCUCUGCUUUGCUGUGUUGGACCAAAAUUUUAGUGAUGUGAGGAAUAGCGCUCAGAAGCUUUGAAGUCAAAAGACCCGAAUUCAAAUUUCUGCUCUCCUUCUUACUAAUGAGUGAUCUUAGGAAGUAGCUUAACCUCUCUGAGUUCCUUUGUGAAAUGGAAUAAUACUGAUGCUAACUUUACAGAAUAGUCAUGAACAGUGAGUAUGGUAACUGUGUAAAGGUUGACUGUUGCCUCUUAGGCUGGGAUUGAAGCAUAAUCUAGCACCCUAUCUUGAUUGACUAUAAGAUUCAACAUCAAAGAUGUGACCAUUUUAUCUCCUCUCCAUGAUCAUCUUUGAACUACAUUUAUACACAGAGAAAGGAAGAUGUUAACAAUUUUCUCCCAGGAACUGGAGAGAUGAUAACGGGUUUAAGGUACUUGCUUUGCAUUCAGCUGACCCUGGUUUGAUCUCUGACACCUCAUUUGGUCUCUGAGCACUACCAGGAGUGAUUCCUGAGCGCCAAAUUCCUGAGCACCAGGAAUAAGACCCGAGCACCACUAGUGUGUCACCCCAAACCUCCUGAAAAGAAUUUUCUCUCAAAUCAGAAGAAAGAACCCCCAAGAUUCUUUUCUUGGAGAAUAUAAACUUAUGUGCCCUGAUUUCCUAUACUGAUAUAAUUAAUUCUCCUAGCAAAAGUUAGUCAAAAAUUCACACAGAGUAGAUAGUUUGUUGCAAAACUAAUUUCUGGGGGUGGUAGCUUAAUAUGAAGUAGACAUCUGGAUUUUUUGCCAUAA